GCCACUCAGUCGAUUGAAGCGCGAUUAUUCUGUUUCGUCGUGUAUCCGGCAUCAGUGAAAUAUCGUGAGAGUAGGCCUAUAACCUAACAAAGUUAUUGUACAUACAUCAGUGUGAACAUAAUAAAAUUACUGCCUAACAGUGCUUUGUUUAGAAUUUUAAUAUGUUUCGCAUUCAGGCACAGCCGGAUAGAAUUGACCCUGCUGAAGAGAGAAAGAAAGCGAGGGAUAAUGUAUUAGCAAAUGUAGCCACAUUUGCACUACUCAUUGCACUUAUUAGAUCAGUUCCCUAUGCACUGCGGCAGUUCCAGUAAUGAAACAGUUCAUGCUUUUGUUAAAAGCAAUCAGCAACUACAUGCAGCAGAAUCCUUGAAAACUUCAUAUUUUAUUGUGAAUGACUAUAAAUAGCAUCUUAUACAUGUAACAAAAUAUUGUAAUGCCACACCAAAUAAAAUAGUUGUGGAAAAACUCC